ensembl:snoRNA SNORA71 Small nucleolar RNA SNORA71
CCCUGUAUCGAAAGUGAGCGUGGCGUCCUGUGGCCGCGCUCAUUGAUAGUACAGGAACAGGAAGCUGAGAGCCUUUCCCGUGUUUGAAGGAUGAUCAGUUCCUAUUGAACCCUGGCGCUCUCAGACA